AAAGUGGAAGCAAUCCAUAAGUAGAGUGGCAAACGGGUGAGUAACGCGUGGGCGACCUGCCUUCGAGUGGGGGAUAACUUUUCGAAAGGAAAGCUAAUACCGCAUGACAUACCGUGUUUAGAUACAUGGAUAUCAAAGCUGGGGAUCGUAAGACCUGGCGCUUGAAGAGGGGCCCGCGUCCGAUUAGCUAGUUGGUGGGGUAAAGGCUCACCAAGGCUCCGAUCGGUAUCCGGCCUGAGAGGGCGGACGGACACACUGGAACUGAGACACGGUCCAGACUCC
rnacentral:rRNA from 2 species